rnacentral:rRNA from 1 species
CCUACGGGAGGCAGCAGUGGGGAAUAUUGCACAAUGGGGGAAACCCUGAUGCAGCGACGCCGCGUGAGUGAAGAAGUAUUUCGGUAUGUAAAGCCCUAUCAGCAGGGAAGAAAAUGACGGUAACUGAUUCAGAAGCCCCGGCUAACUACGUGCCAGCAGCCGCGGUAAUACGUAGGGGGCAAGCGUUAUCCGGAUUUAAUGGGUGUAAAGGGAGCGUAGACGGCAGCACAAGUCUGGAGUGAAAUGCCGGGGCUUAACCCCGGGACUGCUUUGGAAACUGUGCAGCUAGAGUGCAGGAGAGGUAAGUGGAAUUCCUAGUGUAGCGGUGAAAUGCGUAGAUAUUAGGAGGAACACCAGUGGCGAAGGCGGCUUACUGGACUGUAACUGACGUUGAGGCUCGAAAGCGUGGGGAGCAAACAGGAUUAGAUACCCCGGUAGUC